UACGUAGGGGGCAAGCGUUUGUCCGGAUUUAUUGGGCGUAAAGAGCGUGUAGGCGGCCAGGUAGGUCCGCUGUGAAAACUCGAGGCUUAACCUCGAGAUGUCGGCUGGAAACCAUCUGGCUAGAGUCCGGAAGAGGAGAGUGGAAUUCCUGGAUGUAGCGGUGAAAUGCGCAGAUAUCAGGAAGAACACCCGUGGCGGAAGGCGGCUCUCUGGGACGGUA
rnacentral:rRNA from 1 species